rnacentral:lncRNA from 1 species
AGACAUCAACCAAGUAAUCAAGCUCAAUUCAAAAUAUUAAAAAAACCACCAAAAUAAAAUAAAAUUCAAUUAAUAGUUAUUUACUAUUAAUUAAAUAAAGAAAAUAAAAUGAAAAUUGUCAAAGAGGGGUCAAAGUAUCAAACAAAAGUCUAAAAAAAUGUAUUAGGUCAACAAAAUUCAAAGUGAAUGGACCUCAAAAGUUGGGGUUAAAAAUCUUUAAAAAUGAUUAAAAUAAAAAUGCAAAAAA